rnacentral:misc_RNA from 1 species
ACAAACUUGGUCAUUUAGAGGAAGUAAAAGUCGUAACAAGGUCUCCGUUGGUGAACCAGCGGAGGGAUCAUUAAAGAGUUUAACAACUCCCAAACCCAUGUGAACUUACCUAUUGUUGCCUCGGCAGGUCCCGCCAGAUCGUCCUACCCUGUAGGGCUUGACGGCGGGGUAAGCCUGUCGGCGGCCCGAGAAACUCUGUUUAUCUUUGUUAUUUCUGAACUCAUAACUAAAUAAGUUAAAACUUUCAACAACGGAUCUCUUGGUUCUGGCAUCGAUGAAGAACGCAGC